UUGGAGGGCAAGUCUGGUGCCAGCACCGCGGUAAUUCCAGCUCCAAUAGCGUAUAUUAAAGUUGUUGCAGUUAAAAAGCUCGUAGUUGAAUUUCGGGGUCAGUAGGUUGGUCGUGCCACUGGUAUGUACUGGUCUCACUGAUUCCUCCUUCCUGAUGAGCUGUAAUGCCAUUAAUUUGGUGUUGCAGGGAAUCUGGACUGUUACUUUGAAAAAAUUAGAGUGUUUAAAGCAGGCUAACGCUUGAAUACAUUAGCAUGGAAUAAUGAAAUAGGACGUUCGAUCCUAUUUUGUUGGUUUCUAGGAUUGACGUAAUGAUUAAUAGGGAUAGUUGGGGGCAUUAGUAUUCAAUUGUCAGAGGUGAAAUUCUUGGAUUUAUUGAAGACUAACUACUGCGAAAGCAUUUGCCAAGGAUGUUUUCAUUAAUCAAGAACGAAAGUUAGGGGAUCGAAGACGAUCAGAUACCGUCGUAGUCUUAACCAUAAACUAUGCCGACUAGGGAUCGGAUGAUGUUAAUUUUAUAAUGACUCAUUCGGCGCCUUACGGGAAAC
rnacentral:rRNA from 1 species